rnacentral:rRNA from 1 species
UGGGGGAUAUUGCACAAUGGGCGAAAGCCUGAUGCAGCGACGCCGCGUGGGGGAUGAAGGCUUUCGGGUUGUAAACCUCUUUCGCUAUCGAACAAGGCCCGCUUAGGGUGGGUUGAGGGUAGGUGGAGAAGAAGCGCCGGCUAACUACGUGCCAGCAGCCGCGGUAAUACGUAGGGCGCGAGCGUUGUCCGGAAUUAUUGGGCGUAAAGGGCUUGUAGGCGGCUUGUUGCGCCUGCUGUGAAAACGCGGGGCUUAACUUCGCGCGUGCAGUGGGUACGGGCAGGCUUGAGUGUGGUAGGGGUGACUGGAAUUCCAGGUGUAGCGGUGGAAUGCGCAGAUAUCUGGAGGAACACCGAUGGCGAAGGCAGGUCACUGGGCCAUUACUGACGCUGAGGAGCGAAAGCAUGGGUAGCGAACAGU